rnacentral:tRNA from 1 species
AUCUAAUUAGUUUAAAAAAAAUAUUGAUUUGUGGUGUCAAUGAUGAAAUUAAUAUUCAUUAGAUU